rnacentral:rRNA from 1 species
GAGUANNACAUCGGAACAUGUCCCGUAAUGGGGGAUANCNCAGCGAAAGUUGUGCUAAUACCGCAUACGAUCGAGAGAUGAAAGCAGGGGAUCGCAAGACCUUGCGUUAUGGGAGUGGCCGAUGGCCGAUUAGCUAGUUGGUGGGGUAAAGGCCUACCAAGGCGACGAUCGGUAGCUGGUCUGAGAGGAUGAUCAGCCACACUGGGACUGAGACACGGCCCAGACUCCUACGGGAGGCAGCAGUGGGGAAUUUUGGACAAUGGGGGCAACCCUGAUCCAGCCAUGCCGCGUGAGUGAAGAAGGCCUUCGGGUUGUAAAGCUCUUUCGUGGGGAACGAAACGGUGGAUGCUAAUACCAUCCAUUACUGACGGUACCCCAAGAAGAAGCACCGGCUAACUACGUGCCAGCAGCCGCGGUAAUACGUAGGGUGCGAGCGUUAAUCGGNNUUACUGGGCGUAAAGCGUGCGCAGGCGGUUUGUUAAGUCAGAUGUGAAAGCCCCGGGCUCAACCUGGGAAUUGCGUUUGAAACUGGCAAGCUAGAGUCUGUCAGAGGGGGGUAGAAUUCCACGUGUAGCAGUGAAAUGCGUAGAGAUGNNGAGGAAUACCGAUGGCGAANGCAGCCCCCUGGGAUAAGACUGACGCUCAUGCAC